ensembl:rRNA 5S_rRNA 5S ribosomal RNA
GUCUACGGCCAUUCCACCCUGAACGCGCCCGAUCUCGUCUGAUCUCGGAAGCUAAGCAGGGUCGGGCCUGGUUAGUACUUGGAUGGAAGAAUGUUGUUUUUCUUUGUAAAUC